UUGCAGCCUCCAGCGUGCUUGGGUCUGGGGUGGUCCUAUGCAUUCCUACGGUACUUGCGAGAACAGUUUGAGGCCUUGCCCUGCUGCAUCUGGAGCACGGUAAUAGAAGUUGCAGAUAGUC